rnacentral:lncRNA from 1 species
UGGUUCAGGGUGGUUCUCUAGGUGUCAGAUUAAAUGAUGUUGAAAGGACUACUUCAUUACUGGAAAAGGAUUGAGGCAGGGUGAUCCUCUAUCCCCAAUAUUGUUUAACUUGGUGGCUGAUGUAUUCACUAAAAUGCUUUAUAAAGCAACUAAUAGAUCACAAAUCUUAGGCCUCCUGCCAGAAUUCUGCCCUGGUGGUGUUAUUUGUCUGCAAUAUGCAGAUGAUACUUUAAUUUUCUUGAAAAAGGACAACACUAUGGCUCAAAAUCUGAAGUGGAUUCUCACCUUAUAUGAACAUAUCUUUGGCAUGAAGAUCAACUACCAUAAAUCAGACCUAAUACCUAUGAACCUUGAGGAGGAGGAAAUUAAUUCUUUAUCUCAGAUCAUUGGGUGUCUCAUUGCCUAUGGAAAGUAUCACCUAGCAAACUGGAAAAUUAUGGCCAUGAAGAAAGAAUUUGGAGGUUUAGGUAUACCUAACUUGAGAGGUCUAAAUGUCUCCCUACUUGCCUCAUGGAUCUGUAGAUUUAUUCUGGACUCCAAUAGGCUUUGGAAAAGAAAUCAUUAACUUUAAGUAUGAAGUGGAUAAUCCCAACAUCUUUGCUUGCGAAAAUAACAACCGCUAUAAAUUUUGGAAAGGUGUCGUGUGGGCCUACAAGGCUGUUAAGAUUGGGUACCACUGGCUAGUAGGAGAUGGAAAAUCCAUCUAUUUCUAGGAGGACCAAUGGUUUGGGGGCUCCAGUCUAUCCAUUCAGUUUUGGGAACUAUAUGUGAUUUGCAAUGAACAAAUGGCCACUCUAGCUGAAAUCUGGGAUUCUGGGGAAAUAAGGCUAUCUUCUCGACGUGCCUUUGGACCAAGACUUUUAGAAUAGUGGGAAGAUUUAACCCAAAUUGUUUCUGCUGUUGAGCUUACUUUUGAGAAAAACCAGAUGAUUUGGAAACUUAAUAAUUCUGGAAUCUAUUCCUCUCAAUCCCUCUUCGCUAUAGUGAACUUCAGAGGGAUUCACCCUGUGUUUGUGCCUUCCACCCUGUGUUUGUGCCUUCCUUAUGGAACAUUUAUGUUCCCCCUAGAAUACAUAUGUUUCUUUGGUUGUUAAGUAAUAACCGAAUCCUAACCAAAGAUUGACGUGGUUAUGACCACUCAGGUACUCAUCUUUGGUAUACCCACUACGGCCCAGCAUGAAGCCCGCUCGGAGGCCUACUACAACUCCAGGAGUCCGGAUGCCUAAUCUUGCGACUCAAAAUAAGGAAGCUUAAUUCGAGUAUAUCUUUUUAUUUUAACCGACUUGGACUCUACCUGAGACCUGGGUUCCUGCAUAUAUAAAGGACCGGGAGGGGGAUCCAAGGAGGACAACUCACAACUCUCUCUCCCAAGAGACCAACCUUGCAUAGAAUCCGCCUAGACGCACUCGCCAGAUCUCAUUUACACACCUUAGCCUCCACGGCAACCAUGUAAUCUCUCCAUCAAUACCAGAUCAGACAACCAAUACGUAGGGGUAUUACCUUCCGAGGGUCCCGAACCUGGGUAAAACGGUGUCCCCUAUGUCUUUGUUAGCCGACGGGAUCGUCAACACACACGCAUGUCGCUGUCACUAAACACAAAGCCCUUCAACAUGGGCAUUGCCGAAGUGGAACUUCGUCAGAGAUAACCUGAGUAAGAGGCAAGACCUUAAUGAUUAAACCUGUUUGUUUUGUAAUGAGCCUGAAUCAGUUAGUCACCUGUUCUUUAACUGUGUGGUUGCUAAACUACUCUGGUCUGAUAUUUUCAGUAUUAUACAAAGACCAGUGAUUGGCUCUUAUGAAAACAUGGCUACAUACUGGCUGUGCAAUAGAAGAUAUGGUGUUAUUAUGAUUUCGUCUGCACUUACGUGGAUCCUUUGAAAAUUUCGUAGACCUACUAUUUUCUCGACACACCUGGACGAACAUACAUGUCCUGUGGGGGAAGUUACUGCGCUUAUUGAAGCGUUGCCAGCCGCUGUGCCCCAAACAAGAUAUCCAAAUCUGGGACAAGUGCCUCCUGCUCAUGGAGAUCAAGGCGGCGGAAGUUCCCCGGCUGCGAUGAACAAGAAGCGCCACACCACUCUGCUUGCGCCGGGGACGCCCAACAUGGGGGAGCAGAAGCUGCAACUGCAACUGAAGGCGAACUGAGUUGGAUAAUCUAAAAGGCAGUUGCGCAGGCUUGCUCUUCCGACCAAAAUUUAGGCUGUAAUAACAAAACUUCAAUUUCACCUUCCAGUUUGUGUGUUGCUCUAUAGAGCGCGUUGAGACUUUUUUUUUAGAUGAACAGGGACUCCCUCCCCGGCUCCACUUUAUUGCAAUGAAACCAACCGUCUCGCAUCCAGCAAAAACAGUCUCCGCGUUGAGACUUCUUUCGAUUUGGUUGUAACCGGGAGCUUUAACUGACUUUGUAGUUUCGUUUCUGAUGAAAUGGAACUGGGCGGAGAUGCCUUUGAUCUAAAAAAACGAUGUGCAGCACUUGCAGCUGCGGGCAAGCGGCAAGCACGCCCUCGUAGACGGCAGCGCGCGUCGUCCUGGGCAAGUCUUUUCAAGACCAGCGUGGUGAGCGCGGCGAAGCCCUGGAGAGGUGGGGGCAGGCAAUUGCCGAGCUUGAGGCUUCGAAGGCGUGACGCGCCGGGAUUCCCGCUGAUGCGGCCAUGGGGGAACCUGUAGACCGGCGGCGGAUGCGCGAAGGGCUCGGUCGGCGUCGCGACGACCUCGAGAUCCCUGAGGCCCCAUGAAUCGACGGCGUCCACGACGAGGCUGUUGAUCCAGGGCGAGGUGCUGCAGUCGAACACCUCCGCCGGUGAGCGCGGCCAGCCAAAAGGCUCUUGACGGAGGCGGCCAUGGAGCACAUGGCGCGGCGCUCGUACCGCUCGGCCGUGGCGGUCAGCGUCCUGGCAAGCGCGUGCGGCCACGGCAGCUUCCGGGCUUCGCGGCGGAGGAGGAGGCAUUGGUGGUAGCCGGUAGCGCCGUGGCAGCGUGUCGGAGACCUUGAGAUCCAGUGCGGGGACCUCGCGGGGGAGGUGCGCCCAGCGCCUGGAGAGCGCGGUGCGGGUGUCGACACGGCGCAGGAUUUCUAGGAGCAGAUCGUCAGGGAGCGCACUGAGGCGGUCCUAGCCGCAGGCCGCGCGCAGCCGCUGGCGACGGGAUCUGUCCUUCAUCCUUGCCAUUGGGGAACAAUUUGGUGGUGGCCGGUGCUAUUCGGUGAGGCGGGGUUGCGAGUAAACAGAGGCAUCGAGUGGAAAUUCAGCAGGGAUCCGGAUUCGGAAAGAGAAUCGGAUUUUUUUUUAGGGGGAUUUUGUCAUCCGAUACGAAAGGGAGACGGGGAAUAUGAGCCCGGUUUGCGGCGUGCAGCUCUGAUGACUUAUGGCGUCAACUAACCCUACGGCCCGGGGCCAGCUCGGAAGCCCGUGUUUCGGGCCCAAUAGCGGUGCAUUGUAACAUUCGGAGCAAAAAAACUAUUUCGACCAAGGCCUAGACCAUGCUUGGAUGGCCGUUUUAUGUUCGUUUUAAGCCCAAUACACGGAAAAAAAACCUAUGGACCGUAUGAGACCCCGGUAAUAUUCCGUCCGAAAUCUGAAGAGAGAGAACGAGAGAGGAUGGAAAUGGAGAGUUAAAUCAAAUCGAGAUGAAAAAAAAAAAUCCUUAGCCGUUAGAGAGAAACCUAGCGACGUUGUUGAAGAAAAUUUCAAUCUCAGGCGGUUUCUCUCGUCUCUGGCAGCCAAUUUGGGGUUGAAGGACGAGGCAAACUACGGAACUUUUGACAAUUAGUUUUGCAAUUUUUGUGGUUAGGUUUUGUAUUCUUCAAGGUGACAUCUUGACGGUGAAGAUGAUGCCGUCUAAAAGAUUGGUAUCUUUGCUUCGUUCUCAUCUUGAUGUAAGCAUCAUGGCCUAGUUCAUUGAGUCAGUGGUUCUCGUGACUCGUCUUUUGGUGUUUUGGUUUUUUUUUUAUUCAUCAACAUAGCAGCAGUUUCAUUUUGCCUUGUAAGUCGUGUGUCCCAAUUAUGGUGCGUGCCAACUGUUUGAUGUGGGUUCCAACUGUUUGAUGUGGGUUGCACAUGUGGUGUUUCAAAACCUAUGAGAUUAGUCCAGCUUGGUAGAAAAAAAAGCGUCCAAAUGUUAUCGUAGUACUCUGAAGAUCGGACGCAAAGCAUUUCCGUUAGGAAUGGUCGAGGAAAGCUUUUUCUCGCUGAUCUUUUGGGCGUUCUCAAUGCGUAUGCACAAUGGUUUGUAUUUUACAGUUGAAAAACUGUCAUUUAUUAUUUUUUGUAAAAGAGAAAUUAUGAAUCCUUUUUGGAUUUAGUGCCGAGAGACGUAUCCAGAUUAAAAUACCAUAUCCUUUUUUUCCGUAACAUAGGCCACAUCAACAUUUCUUUCUAGGUGACAUACUUAAGAUAUGAAUAUAUGAUGGAGCAUUCGGAUUGGUCUUACACUCGGUUUUGAAUGGGCCGCAAAUUUCAUACGUGCUGAUUUUAUUUUUGGCUGCAAAUUUUUAGGACCUAUAAAUUGUUUCAGAAGCCCAAACAAAGAGAUUCCUAAGAGAAAUUGUCGGUGGGAUGACCCCGAGUAGGAUCAUAACGACGCGCUCUAGCCGAGAUGACGAAGGCAAAGCCGGCAGGGUUGUGUAUGCCGGCAUCGUAAAGCCAAACUAUUACUAAGCCGACAUACCGGGUGUAUGCCGACAUAAUUAUCUUAUCUUAUGAGCUUGUAGGAUAAGGACGAGCACCCUAAUCUCGGCCAGCACCGAGAUCUCUCAACGGUCUUAUCCUGACAUCGCGGCGCAAAGUAAAGCAGCGCUAUCAUUAUCGCGGAAAAGCAGUCGUCGGUUACGCAGCUGUACCAGGUGACUGCACAAAAGAAGCACCGAAAGAGAAUCUCUGACGGGAGCCGGCAGAGGGCAGCAGUACUUGUUUCAGGGUGCCAGGGAAAGUAAAGUUGUCUUGUCCCCUGCGGUGCCACCCGGUGGGAACCAAGCCGCGUGCCGGCGGGGCCCAAGGAAGGUGACGUUAGGACUCGGCCCGCAUGUCAGUGUGACAUGGGCGGCCUAUAAAUAGAGCAUUACCCCUCCCUGGAGAGGGGACGAGCACUUAGGCAUCUAGGGUUUUCUCCUUCUUCUUCUUCUUCCUCAAGAAUACAGCUCAAGGAGCGCCAUUGUAGAGCUUGUUUAUCUCGGCUAAUACAACAAAGCAGGAGUAGGAGUCUUACCUCGACAAGAGGGCUCCGAACCUAGGUAAAUCUGUGUGUGUUUGCGUAUUUGUGCGUGUUUCCCUUCACGUCCUCCCUCCUCCGGCUCCUCCUUUGUCCAUCGGCCCCAAGUUAAGCCAUCCUAUGGCAUCUGCCGUGAUCCCACCAUGACAGUUGGCGCCCACCGUGGGGCCAGCAGCGGCGUUGGCUGGAGUCUUCAUCCGGAUGGGAAGUUUUCUCGCCACCGGAGAGCGCGUGGUCUCCGCUUUGGUCCCGAGAUUCGGAUCUCUGUUGCAUCUAACUGUAGUUGUUUUUUUAGAGACUCAGCCUCACAAGAGACAUUGAAGAGGCAAACAACGCAUCAGGUGCAGAGUUUCCGGAUGUGGUCGAUUGGCCCAUUAAGUCGUAUGAAGCACAACAUCAAAACAAUGGGCGAGUAUAAGGUGGGUCAGAAUUCAAAUCUUUUGUGCAAUGUCUUGAUAUAUAUCAAUCUGUGUUGUAUCAGUAUCUUGUGUGGUAUAUUCGUGAUGCGUUCCAUGGAGCACUGGGAUGGAGAAAGGUCUACAUCACAAUAUAGCCAGGUAGGCACGAAUGUUUGUACUUCCACCGUCACAUUUCAAAAAUAGUUGUACUAACAGGUAACAUAUUUAUUGCAGACAACCAUUAACGCUUCGAGGAGACGUAUUGUUGCGGAGAUAUUAUUGUGUGAAGAAAACCAAAUGGAGCACGUGCGAAACAACAUUCAAGAAUUAUCUAAGGAGUUGAAUAUAGUUGAAUAGGGCACGCGCAGAUCGAUAGAUUGGUCAAACUAUUUUAUGUCUUCUUAUUUCGGCGACCCGCAGGCCCCAAGGACGUCGCCGACAACACGGCGUACUGGGAGGCACUCUUCCAGGGCGAGCGGGCGGCCGAGCUCGCCUAGUUCGACCCUGCCAACCCCCCGUCUGGACGGCACAUCGUCGUCAGGCGCAGGGCUUGGUGGCGCGUGCCCGGCCGCACGCUCGUCACCGUCCUCGACCACCUCGACGCCGGCGCGCUCUCCCCGACCCCCCUCCGCCGCAGCCGAGGUCCGGCCGCCUCUCCCCGCUGCGCAAGAAGAUGGCCAUGAAGAAGCAGCCUGCGGCACAGCCGGCACGCGGCAUCGUCAUCCGCGACGGGCCGCCGCCGCUCGGCGCGCCCGCCCAGGAGGAUCCGGUGCCGUGGUGGGCGCAGGAGCGCGGCGUGCAGACGUCGCUCGCCGUUCCCGAGGAUCCCGAGGAGUUCCCGGGCUACCAGGCCGCCAUGUCGCUCUCCACGGUGGAGCCGCCUCGGAUGACCGAGGAAGAGGCGCUCGCCUGGUCGACAUGCGACUAGGAGCAGAUGAAGUCGGCGGGACGCGGCGGCGGCGGCGCCGCCAGUAGCAGUGUCGGGUUCGUCCCGGUGAAGGACGAGCCGGUCUCCGACGGCAGCGGCGACGACACCGACUUCAGUUGGAGUUUCUUAGAUUAGGUUUAAUUUCGUAAUUUCGUUCAAACUUGUAAUAAAUCCAAAAUGUUUGAAUGAAAUUCGUAUUUCCAUUUCCAUUGCCGUUUAAAUUCCUAUUUCCAUUGCCAUUUAAAUGUCGCGUUGGAGAUUUAGACAUAUAUGAAAUCAUAAAAAAAUGGCCGCGUCGGCGAAUAAAUAGUUUAAUUUCGAUCUAAUUUAGUUUUCUUUACGAAAAUUGCAUAGCCGAUUUAAACUGCAAUCGACGGCACUGAUUGUAACGCAUUUGUGACGACGGACCCUUUUAUGUCGGUAUUGCCGCCCUAAACUGGCGAGGUGGGACUAAACGACGGCAUCUCACUGCACGCGUGCUUGUGGGCCGCGCGUCGGGGGCCGCGAUGAGGGGAAGGCUGCUAGAGUUGCACGGCGCUGUGGGGCCGCGCGUGUUGUGCCGCGACGAGGGGAAGGCCGCAAGCGCUGCACGGAGUGGUGGGCCACGCAUGUUUGGGCCGCGACGAGAGAAAUGGCUCCUGUUUCCCCUCCCCGGAUUUUGUUUUUCGAAACUCGUAGAAACUGUAAGAAAUUCAAAAAAGUUGAAAAAAUUACGAUUUCAAAUAAAUAGGAAUUGUACCAAAUUUGAUUUCCAUGCUAGCGUACCCCUAUGAACAACGACCGGCCACUUGGUUUCGUGUUUUCGAAAAAAUUCGAAUAUGAAAUUGGCCAAAACCGCCGAAUUCUGAUCAAAUUCGUAAAAACCGUAGAAAAUUCAAAAAGUUGGAAAAAAUAUGGAAACCGUGUUCAAGUGUCAUCUUUGGUGUCCCAGGUGUCGUGUAAAAAAAACGAGGACAUUCGGAGACGGUCGAAAACACGUAGUUGCUUCGGAGAGGGCGUUUGUUUACAUCAAACGUCAUUUCGAAAGGGGGGUCCGAUUUUUCGACAUCCUCGGAAUCGGACCAAAUUUGUUUUCCAUGCUAGCGAACCCCUAUGAACAGCGACCAGCCACUUGGUUUCGUGUUUUCGAAAAAAUUCGGAUAUGAAAUCAGCCAAAACCGCUGAAUUCAGACCAAACUCGUAAAAACCGUAUAAAAUUCAAAAAGUUGGAAAAUUCCGGAAACCGUGUUCCAAUGUCAUCUUUGGUGUCCUAGAUGCCGUGUAUAAAAAACGAGGACAUUCGGAGACGGUCGAAAAAACGGAGUUGCUUCGGAGUGGGCGUUUGGGUUAUACAUCAAACGUCAUUUCAGAAGGGGGGUCCGAUUUUUCGACAUCCUCGGAAUCAGACCAAAUUUGAUUUCCAUGCUAGCGUACCCCUAUGAACAACGACCGGCCACUUGGUUUCGUGUUUUCGAAAAAAUUCGGAUAUGAAAUCAACCAAAACCGCCGAAUUUUAACCAAAUUAUAAAAAUUUGCAAAUGAAAAAACAAAAGGAAGACAAAAGGGUACGUAAGUUUUUGCAUGCAUGCAAUCACGUAUCCUAUAACCGCGCGGUCAGUGGGCGAGUUAAAGCGGUCGUGGUCUGCGCCGGUUUCCCACGCAAUCGCCCUGCCAGUCGCCGCGCGGGUUCCAAGACGCCCAGCAGGCCGUCCCGUCGCGUGUUUCCCACGCCGGUGUUAUUGCGCCCACCAGCCCUCUCAUCUCCCCGGCCAGUCGCCUCCCUCGCCGUUAUAAACCCCCCGCCUCCCUCGCCGAUCCCCACACCGCCAUCUCACCUCUAUCUCUCCCUUGCGCCUCUUUCUCCCUCGCGACCAUAUUCGGCAGCGGCCGCGGCGACGGGUGGGGACGCGGUGGCAGCAGCCGCCGGACGGACGACGCAGCGGCGAACGGGUAUUUCCCGCACACGUUGCUGUCCGACCAGGCGGUGGCGAUGUACCAGGCCCAUGCAAACAGAUCUUUGUUUCGCCUCGCGGGCACUCCAUGCCUGGCCCUUUUCGAGAAGCGUGGAAGAACACAACACUGAGGAAUUUCUUCCAAUUUCAAUACCUUUAGUAUGUAGAGGAUAUGCUUGCAAGGGAGACCCUUACAAGCCAUCCUACGACAGCUGCACUUGAUAGUUUCUUCAAAACUUCCAGGUGUGUAGUCCACGGAACCUGUACCUGUUGUUGUUUUCCAUCCAACGAUGAAACGGCGAGGAUCUCCGUCGUGUACAUCAAACACUUGUAGGCCGCCAAUAUUCUUGAGAUCUUUCUGCACCAUAUAAAAGUUUGCCGGAGUGAACACACGUGAAGCGGCCACCUCGAUCGCCUUACAGUUUGUAACUGCCACAGCUAGUGUCUGAGAACAGCUGCAGUCAUCACUUGCCUCUGCCUCGCGGAUACGAACAAUUACGUUCUCAUAGUGCACUAUCAAAUCGACGAGAGUCAUUCCGAAGUCAAGGUGAAGGUGGAGGCAUGUGUUCAGACUUUCACUUCUUUGAUUGCUUUUCAUACCUAGAAAAACUCCUCCCGAGAGAUAGGACGCAGCCCACAGUCUUUUCUUUCUGUACAUCCUCCUCAGCCAUGGUUCUGUUCUAUCUGUCCGCCAUUUCUGAACAAACGCGUUCCACCUGUCUUCGAAUGUGUCUUCUGAAGUGGUGUAGUAUAAGAGAGACCAGAAAUCUUUUGUUGAUUUGAAACUAAGGUGCUUCUUCAUGUUUUUCUCUAUGUGCCAAGAACAUAGACGGUGCCAUACGCCUGUGAGGACGGCCCCAAUAGCCCUGAUCAUAGAAGCGUCACCAUCAGUGAUCACAGCCUUCGGUUUCUUCUGACACAUGGCUCUCAAGAAUGUUUGGAGCAGCCAUACGUACGUUUCUUCAGUCACGUCUGAAACGAUGGCGCACCCAAAAACUGUGGUCUUAUGAUGAUUGUUCAGACCAACAAAGGGAAUGAAUGGCAUGCCAUACCGGUUCAUCUUGUAGGUACUGUCAAACACGACGACGUCGCCGAAAUCCUGAUAGUCCUGACGUGACUGCGAAUCACACCAGAACAUGCUUCGCAGACGUCCCAUCUCAUCUGCCUGGUACUCGAAAAAAAAAAUCAGGAUCAUUGUCCCUCAUGGUGAGCAUAAUGCCGAGUGAGGUGGACGCGUCACCCUUCGCAAUCAGCUUUCUCUUCUCUCUGGCACACAUGUUAUACACGUCCGGUCUCACGAAUCACACUUCGUUGUAUCUCCCGUAUUUGCUUAUGAAGCUACUCAUGAUCAUGUGUUUUCUGACCCCAGCAGCUCCCAAUGCUAAAAUUUCUGCUUUCUGAAAAUCUUUGAUUUUCCUAUGCGACCAAAGAAAUGGGACUUCAUCCGCUUUGGCCAAUAUAUGGUUGUGGAGGUCGUCGAACCUUGCAACAACCCAAACCCCACGCUGACGGUCGAGAUUCACAACGAGAUGCGCUUUGCAGUUGCAUCGAGAUUCAGCCCUUAGCCUUUGCGAGCGGCCUCCCAGGUUGGCAAAGUACCUCUUAUGACGUUUGCCUUCCCUCGAACAGACAAAACGCCUUAAGCAUACUUGUCCGGGAGCAUUCUUGGUUCGUUUCACCUUGUCUCUUCUUGUGCUGAAUCCAUUUUCUUUAGCAUACUUGUUGUACAAACUGUAAGCGGCAUCUUCCGAAUAGAAAAACAUCUCCAUUAUCUGAGUAUCUACCACGCCGAUCUUCGUCAAGUUCAAUGUUCAUGUUAAAACUGCAGUCUCCCGCUUCUUCGUCCUGAAGAUGGUCUUGCAACUACACAAUGUGAAAUACAUAUAUAAGUCUCAAUAUCAUUAAAUCAUGUAACAGCUGAUCAACGUACCUCACUCGUGCUUCCCGAGUAGGACCCCGUAAUAACCUCCGAUUCUUCAGGGUCUUUUUCAUACCCCAUGUCAAUGUCCGAAUCCCCAAUAUAUUCAUAUUCAUCGCCGGAGCCCAUCAUGGACUGUAAAAAGAAAUGAAACCAUACGCGUCAUAACUUGGCGUCACGUUCCUUGUAUUUAUCAUCACUUCAGGUAUGAAUAGGAAACGAGGUAUACAACUUACUUCGCUCAUGUAGUCCGAAUCAGCAGGAUCGGCCUGCUCAUGAUCAACACCUAAUUCGUGCUCAAGCCUCACGUUUCCGUCGUCGGUUCCUUCGCCACCAAAUGGCCCGUUCCUAGGACUAGAUGACGUGGAUUCAUUAUCCGAACUAGAAUCCCCGCCCGCGUAUCCGUUGUCAUCCUCCAUACCUCAGCACUGCACAACCACAUGAACUUGCGAUGUUAUUGAUAAUGAAAAAGCCAGAAUGUAUACAUGGCUACCGGGGUGGCGGAGCUAAACUAUAGCGCUAGCUAGGCUAACCUACAUGAGGUUGGCGUGGACGCCAAUAGCAUGAAAGCACGGCAUUACCUUUGGACGAACGGAGGAGGCGGGAACCGCGGCAGGGUUGUUCGAACGAGACCACUCCGUCGAGAUAUGUGUUCGGCCGCCGGAGUUUUCACGGAGAUCUGUGUAAAAGGAUGGCGAGGUGGUGUCGGGUCUCUUCCGCCGGACAGAAUCGAAUCGCAGAUGGCGGCUGCCGCAUGAUUAUUUUUUUUGGAAACCGCCAGCCGAGAAUGUACCGCGUGCGCGAUUCGUGGCGUUGAUCCGGCCGUUUCUGUUUUUGUUUUCAUUUCCUUUUCUUUUCUCUUUUCCCUAUUUACAUUUGCGGGCAGGUUACCUCGACGCCAUAGACGAAUACGUACGCGACUACGGGGUUAUACAAGGCUUGGAUAUGGGCUUACGGUGGGCUAUACCUACAGGGGCCUGACUUAAGUCGCGGGGCCCUGGAAACCCGAUGACUUACGCCGGGUGGGUCGUAUCGAAUUACGCCUCCUAACUUAAUUACUUACUCCAGCCAUGUAUUUAUGUCGUUUUAGAAUAUGCGCUAGUCAAAUAUUGAGUAAAUUUCAAGAAAGCACAAUCUUUGAGGCAUACUUCUCAAGAAUCACAGUUUGCGAUAAUUUUCUUGCGAAACCACAGUUUUUGCGCCUAUGUAUUAAGCCCCUGCAUAUUUUCAGUCACACUUUUCUCCCCUUCUUCUUCCUCUUCUCUCUCCCCACAGCCCAAGGGCCAGCUCGCUGCGGUGGGGAUCCUCAACAGAAUUUGAUUGCUUUGGAAGCAGAAUGCGACUCAAUUUUCUAGCCACGUAACUUUCUUCUGCAUUAGUACGAGUUUACAACAUUAAUAGAAAUUCAGCAAUAUGCUCCACUUCUUGCAAUACCACAAAGUGCUUGUCCAAUACGAAUUGGAUGAGUCCUCAUUAUACUUUAUUUAUGUUGCUUCUUGGUCUUCUCUCCAUCUCUGGUAGUCUGUUCAGAAGUCUGCUUGGGAAUCACUUCUUCAUUGUCACAUUUGAAAGCUGAUUGUCCCCUUUCUUUUUUUCAUGGCUUCGUAGCAUUGUCAUUGUUGUUGAGUUGCAGCGGACAGUUGAACGGAGAGGAGAUAAAUAUCUAAGCAUCAUAGCAUACCAUACUCUGAGUUCAUAUAAAACUUCUUUUGCAACACCUAUGAGGCCGGGUCCCUAUAUGUGAGCAGGCAUUGGGGAGUGCAAAAAUUUGUCUCACUUAUGACCAGCUCCGUCUAAGGAUGCUGAAAUAGAUGAAGCGUGUUGACUGGGGCUGAAAUAGAUGAAGCGUGUUGACUGGGCAGUGGUUUGCCCUUCGACAACGUCCGAGGUACUCCUCUCGUGCAUGCCAGAGAUCGUUUCUAUAGUGGUGGUUCUCUAGUCCUAUUGUUUUCCGACUUUGUAGUUUAAUUAGGUGCUACAGUUUUAUAUUUCCGCUAGAAUCCGGUCAUUAAGAUUGGGUUAAUCGGUACACUCCGAUCUGUGGCGUGACUACCUUCCUGCUCUUGGAAACUCUCAAUUUGAGCUGAUAUAUUCAAAUGGAGAGUUUUUCCUCCUGGCGAUUACUCAAAAAAUAUAUCUGAGAGACUAACAAGUGAUGUUUAGCUGUUUGAAGAAAUAGAAACUACGAUUCGAUACAAUCAUGUCCUUGUAUGGUUGGACCAGAUUAAAUCCAUCACGUUCCCUAUUUAAGUGCCGGAGGAGGGGCAUUGCAGGAUGUCAAAGAACCCAUAUAUGCUUGAGAGAUCCCGUCGGUGAUAUGAAAAAGAACGGGUGCAUGUUACACUACACGGUCAUCCUGUUAGAAUUAGUCUUGAGUUUGAGUUCUACUAGGAUUAGGUGAGUUUGUGAGUUGUAAUCAGGUUAAGCUAGCCUGCGUGUUGGAGUCCUUGUGUUAUUAGAAUUGGAGUUACCCACGUGUGAAUACUAGUCCGUGUGUGUUUAGGUGUUGGCCGUGUAUAUAUACGCGGGCAUAGCCGUAGGUUGUAACAAGGUCGUGGGAUUUGAGAUAUUGAGAAGAAAUAAAAAGAGAUGCACGACAGGUGCUUCUGGCCAAAUAAAUUCCCGAUCGUGUGCGUCUUCAUGUGACUGAUCUUUGGGCAAACCCAACAUUUGGUAUCAGAGCAAGGCUCAAGAUUUGGAGACGCGCUUGCCCCGGGGAGAUGAUGUGCUAGCGCCUCGGGGCGGGCAUCGGUGGCGGAGCGGUGUCCGCGAAUAAGAGCGGGCAAUAGCGGCGGCGGAUCAGAUCCGACGGUGGCGAUUGUGCAAAGAGUAGCGUUCAGCAGAUUGGGUCGAGUUGUCAUCACGGUGGACCGAUCUUCUAGUAACGGGAGAUCAUAAUAUUGAUCGCCGGAAAGUACUCGGCAUUAGGGCAAACUGUUGUCGGCAAGCUCGUUGAGGAGUUAUGUGUUUUAGCGUCAGCGUCCGUGAGUCGUGGUUGUGUCUAAGUGCUCGUCGGUGUGAGGCUCUGUUGCAGUGGAAGCAUGUCACGGUCGAAAGUUGUCCAGUAUGGUGUGUCAUCAGAGCAAGAGAUCGACGUGCAUGCAGACAAGGUGGCAUGUGGUCAUCUCCGUGUCUCGGCGAGAAGAUCAAACUUGGCGUGUAGUGGGACCAUGACCAGUUUAGUUGAGUUCCUGCGUGAGAUUAAUGGUGUGUCUAAUCUGCACGUAGCACGCGGGAUGUGUCCGCGUGGGCUAGUAGUCCGGAUCAUGCGUUGAGUUGAAUCGACGAGUCGUGAAGCUGAAGAGAGCCAAGAUCAGGGAGAGCGCUGAAGACAGCAACUUCAAGAUUAGGGGAGAUUGUUAGAAUUAAUCUUGAGUUUGAGUUCUACUAGUUUUAGGUGAGUUUGUGAGUUGUAAUUAGGUUAGUUUCUUUGUUAAGCUAGCAUGCGUAUUGGAGUCUUUGUGUUAUUAGGAUUGGAGUUACCCACGUGUGAGUACUAGUCCGUGUGUGUUUAGGUGUUGGCAGUGUAUAUAUACGCGGGCAUAGCCGUGGGCUGUAACAAGGUCGUGGGAUUUGAAAUAUUGAGAAGAGAUAAAAAGAGAGGCAUGACAAGUGCCUCUGGCCAAAUAAAUUUUUGAUCGUGUGCGUUUUCAUGUGACUGAUAUUUGGGCAAACCCAACACAUGGGCCAUUCCCAAAUCCCAGUUCAGUUUUGAUUUUCUGGUGUGAUGCCUCUGAAACCCACCCAUAGUCCACUGGCCGAUAAACUUUGUAAGUUGGACUUGGAGUUGGAGGCAUGAGGAAAGAUACCUAUCCAAUCAUACAUCAUACGUCCGAGCGUCUUCUCCUGAGAAUACAUCGGUGGUCAGAUGGAGAGGCUGAAAUUCAAGCUCACAUCUCAGUCACUAAAAAAAGGAGCAACAUGAGAAACUGAUACAGAGACGUUCAGCAACAUGUCUUUCAAUUUCCAUGCCGAGAAUUCGCUGAGAUCCUAGUCAAGCUAGCUAGUACCAUCCAGCACGGAAGCAACAUGAAAAAGAGGAGUCUAUGCCUACGAGGAGCUGCAGAUCAGAUUAGCAAUUUGAAAACCAACUCUGCUGCACCUACGACGAAGUGGUGUCCGACGUUGGUCCAACGAAGCACAUGGCCCUUCGAUAAAAAUUGUGCAUCAAUUUCUACCGAUUGGUUAGGGUGUCGGACAAGACUCGGCUGCAGACUAUGGGACGCGAAGCAACUCACGUGAGAAACAACAUCAGAUAUACACAGUUCCUACGAGAUGACUGUUAAUUUAACAGCCCAUUCCUUUAACACGAAUAAGGGCAGAAGAUUGAAAUAUAUGAAUGUUGAUUAUACUCCAUCAGAUAUACACAUUUGGUCCAAAACAAAAGUCAGAUACACACAUUAUAUUUUUACUAGUAGGGCCCUUUUAGGUUUUUUAAAUAAAAAGAUGCGUGCAUCACUGUAUCUUCUUGUAUCAAGUAACCAAAUAUAUAGAACACAUCAAUUCAAAUUUCAUUUCAAAAAGUAGUCCACAAAAGUGUAUUUUCAAGGCUUUGCAACCUGCAACAUGUGCUACAGGUUUUGUCUAUGAACAAGUUCCACACACACAUGCGCAAACAUCUUAGCUCGUUUCAUACAUCAAAAUUGUUUUCCACAUGACAUCUCGAUGUGCUUGAGGUGUCAUGCUCAUGUCGACAUAUUUAUUGAACUCAUUAGACAACCAGCCCCGCUCCCCAAGAAUGAAUGAGCUUCUCCUGAGCUUUCUUCUGAUGGACAGUGUUAGGGAAAGUGAAGUCCUGAUCUAUGAUUAUACUAAGGGGGGCACUCAUUGCAUACCAGCAGCCCAACGCUCAAGCAUUCCCUUCCUGGUGCCUCCUAUUCUCAAGCUAACCCCUUCUUUUGUUGUGCCUAUUUUGUCUUUCUUGCAUUGUUUUCACUAAUAAUACUUGGUGUAGGAGAGAAAUUGAGGUGGCAAGUAAAACUCAAAUGACUUGUGAAGCAUCGAGAAAAUGCACUUGACCAUUGGUCAGGUAUAUAUAAAAUUUAGCAAUGCAAGCUGUGGUUGGUGGGAACAUUUAUCUCAUAUCAAUUUUAUGAGAUAUUUGUUUCGUUUACAAAGGGGAUGUGAUUUUUUAUUGUGUCCAAACUUAUUCUGGUGGUUCAGCUUCAGUAUAUCAACUCAUUUAGUUCUCUCUUGGUUAAUUAAUAUGUGCAUACAAUGCUAGGUAAACUGGCUCUAGAAUGAAAAGAUUAUAUCAUGCCUCCUCCACAACAAAGAGGAGUGAGUAUAUUUUAGUUCCUCAUCUUCUUUUAUCCAAAAGAUAUCGGACGAGCAGAGCAUUGUCUUAACUAGUAGAUGAUAGUCCCGCAUAUUGUUGCGGAAAUUUUUAGUUAAUAUACGUAAGAGAAUUAACAUAAGUGAGAGAAAUUGACUAGCAACGAAAGAAUAUCCAAAAUUGAAAACAUGUAAUGAAAUUAUAUGAUAUAUUCUUCACCGAGUGAUAGCAAGUCAUGCAUGUGCAAAAAAUGAGUUUCCCAUUAAAUAGGUGUGAACAAAUUAAUGAUAGACAUAUGCUUGCAUGUUAAGGAAAAUCAAGAUGCGAGAUUCUCCUACUUAGAUAUAAUAGAUUCUUAGAUUGAAUUGAUUAAUGCAGCAUUUGCAGAGUUAAGCCAGAGUUCUUUUUAAUGGAAAUGUAAAUAUGCUUGUUUUCAGUUGUGAAAUUAAAACGCCUUCUGGUAGACGCGCGUCUGCGAGAAACUAAGCUAAUCCAACGGUGUAACUUAAUGGGAUGAGAAAUAGUUCAAUACUUGCUUUACACGGUUAUUGAAUCGACUAUAUUUAACUGGCGUCUACCUGGCAAUUUGACUUAGAUGAGAAGGUUUUCCAAAUGAAAAGAUUUAAGUACUCUCUCUGUUCCGAUAUUCUUGUGGCAGCCUCUUCAGGAGGUCAAUUUUACAAAAACAUCCUCACAAAUAUAAAAAUUACAGAUUUCAUAUUACAACAUUCAAAAUUCAAACUGUCGCAUGUGCCUCUCCUCUCCAGGUCGCCUCCGCCACCCCUCUCCAGGUCGGCUCCUCUAGUCCAGGUCGCCUCCAACCUCCACCCUCUAGCUCGCCUCCAACCUCCCCUCUCCAGGUCGCCUGCUGCCCAUCUCCAGGUUGCCUCCAACCUCCCAUCUCCAGGUCGCCUCCAGCCCUCUCCAGAUCGCCUCCGGCCUCACCUCUGCAGGCCUGGCGCCACGCCACUCUCCACAAGUUCUCCUGCGGCUCCAGACCUCCUCCGGCUUGUCUCCAGCCAGCCCAGCUCUCUUGUGGCUGCCAGAUUUGAACUGCAGUCCUGAGGAUCACCAUUUUUUCUUCUCUUCAUAAGCAUGGCCAUACCAGACCUGAACCUGAGCCCUCCUGGAGAUGAUGCAUGAAGCAGCAGGUAACUUAUGUGCCUGAGCAACUCUUGCAACAGAACAUAGCCAAAUUAGAUUGAGUAUCUUGCAGAUUUGUGUUAUUGUUCAGCAAAAUACUCCAAAUACAGAACAGAGGAUGUGCAGUACACAUUUGUGUUCUUGUUCAGAAUAGUUGUAACCAUCACAUGCUUAAAUUGUUGAGAACAUAACAUCUUCGUUAAAUAAAGAACACAACAUGUUCUUGUUCAUAAUAGACAUAAUGUUCUUGUUCACAACAUGUUCUUCAUUAAAUAAAGAACACUCCAUGCACACCCAUACAUAUGCACACCCAGUUUCAGAAUGUUCUUGUUCAUAAUUGAAUGUUCUUGUUAAGAAUAGAGCAUGCACACACAGUAUGAGAAUAGAGCAAGUCUAGCCAUUAGUAGUUGUAUGUGUGGACUUAAAUCUCUAAUCACAUAAAUCGCUCAAAUCACAGGAGCAAGUUAAACUUACAAGGAUCAGCCGCCAGGAACACUAUGCCGUCGCCCGCCGCGCGAUGCCGUCGCCCGCCGCCAUCGCCUCUUGCCUGCCGUCGCCCGCAGACGAGCUACGCCGCCCGGCAUCUCCAUCGCCCAUUUGCUUGUGCCUUCGCUGGGCGUGCCGCAAUCUCCCAUCUGCGGCAGAGCUCUGCCUCUGCCUUCGCUUGGUCUGCCGCCAUCCCCCAUCUGCAACAGAGCUCCGCCUCUGCCUUCACUAGCAUCCUACAGCCUCGCCAUGUAGCGGUUCAAUCAAGCAGCUGCCAAAUCAUGAAAGAAUUUCAUCAGCAAGCAGAAAAAGCAAGAAGUGGAGGAACAAGAAGUGAAGCAGUGGAGGAAGAAGUUGUACAUGAAGCACAAUUCAAUGCUGCAAGAACAGCAAGUAGAUGAAGAUAUAGCUCAGCAAGAAACAACAAGUAGAUGAAGAUAUAGCUCAGCAAGAAGAUGAAGAUAUAACCCAGCAAGAUAGAACUGCAGCAGGUAACUCAAACAAACUGAACGGAUUUGUUUCUUAACCAUCACAUGUUUGUGCAUGGAGUACUAUAGAUUUGUUUCUUAUGCAAAUGAAUCACAACUGUAGAUUACUCCCAGUUGUAAUCAAUCUUUAAAGCUGAAAAUGUAGGAGUAAAUUAACCUCUAGAUUACUCUCAGGUUAGAUUUGUUCAGAAUAGAGUAUGUGCAUAUUAUUGUUCAGAUUUGUUCUCCAUCUACACACCAUGUAACGACAGCAAGUUUUCUGAAAUGGAGUACAGUACUGAAACUAGAGUUGUUACAUGGAGAAUAACUUAUGUUUUGGUCUUUUGCUGGUGCUCAACAACAACGACGAAGGGACCUGCCAAAUGAACACAGAUUUAGUGCUUAUAUUGCAUUGAAGGCACUAAGCAUAAAUGGACAGAUACUAUUAAAGGACAAGGUGCAUGUUGCCAAUCUUUUGGAUACAACUGUUAGAACAGUGGAGAGAAUAUGGAAACUAGCACACGAGCAGAUUGCACAAGACCUACCUCUUGACCUUUCUAACAAAAAAAAGGGCAGAGCAGGCCGCAAGCGAGCUGAUCUAGAUCUCUCUAGGAUUGCUACAAUACCGCUAAACAGAAGGAGAACAGUAAGAGCACUAGCUAGGGCUAUGAGUGUUAGUUGUACAACGCUGCACAGAAGGUUCCAAUGGGGAGAUAUAAAGCGCUGCACUAGCACCUUAAAGCCCACACUUAAGGCAGAAAACAGAAUAUCAAGAUUGAAAUUCUGCAUUUCCAUGUUGGAUGAAGAAACACUAGGAAAUGCAAGGCCAACCUUAAAGAUAUGACCAACAUAGUGCAUAUCAAUGAAGAGUGGUUUGAUAUGACGAAGAAGAAAGCCACCUAUUACCUCUAUCCUUUAGAAACAUCCCCCUUGCGCACUGUUCAUAAUAAGAACAGCAUUGGGAAAGUAAUGUUUCUAACGGCGGUGGCAAGACCUAGGUAUGAUGAAAAUGGUGCUAUAAUCUUUGAUGGCAAAAUAGGGUGUGGCCAUUUGUGAAGGAAACUCCAGCAGUCAGGAGUAGUCAGAAUAGAGAGAGGGGGACAUUAGAAAUUAAGUCAAUUAAUGUGAACCGGGAAGUCAUGAGGCAGUUUAUGUGUGGUAAAGUUGUUCCAGCUAUACAGAACAUGUGGCCUGAUGAAGAUAUUGGGAAAACAUUUUUAAUACAGCAGGACAACGCAAGAACUCAUGUGCUACCUAAUGAUGAAGCUUUCCUACAAGUGGUAUCAGAAACUGACCUGGACAUUCAACUGAUGCAGCAGCCAGCAAACUCUCCGGAUAUGAAUGUGCUCGACUUAGGAUUUUUCAGGUCCAUUCAAUCCCUAACAGAUUGCAGAGUACCUACAACUAUUAAGGAACUAAUACAAAAUGUGGAGGAAGAAUUUAAUAAUUAUGACGCGAACAAGCUGGCUAGAGUUUUCAUAACACUCCAGUCAUGCAUGCUAGAGGUUAUGAAAGAACAAGGUGGCAAUGGAUACAAGAUCCAGCACCUAAACAAGGAUAGAAUGCAGAGGGAAGGAAACUUAUCUGCUUCUCUAGAUUGUGACGCUGAACUGUACGAGAACACUUUAGCACUGUUGAACCAGUGAAGAGAAGAGAAGAGAAGAGAAGAGAAGCUGCUGGACUUAAUUUCAGUUAAAGUUCAGGUUCAGUUAAAGUGCAGUUUAAAUUCAGUUAAAGUUCAGUUAAGUUUCAGUUUAAUUUCAGUUAAAGUUCAGUUAAAGUACAGUAAAGUCCUUGUUGUAUGGAUGUGCACUGUGAUCUCUACAUGGUUCAGGUUAAAGUUCAGUUAAGUUUCAGUUUAAUUGUACAAUCAAUUCAAUGAGAGGUGUCAUUCUUUAUUGGAUUCAGCUCUUAAAGUUUAAGUUAGAUUCAGUUUAAGUUCAGCUUUUAAAGUUCAGGUUUAAGGUUCUAUACAUGGUUCAGAUUUUAAGUUCAGGUUUAAGUGGAUUAGAUUCAGUUUAAGUUCAGUUUUUAAAUUUAUGUGGUUCAGGUUUAAGGUUCAGUUUAAGUUCAGGUUUAAGGUUCUGUACAUGGUUCAGGGUUAGGUCUAGGUGAUUUAAGUUCUGAUUUAAAUUUAUGUUUAGGUUCAGACUUCAAUUCAGGUUUAG